rnacentral:rRNA from 1 species
GACGAACGCUGGCGGCGUGCCUAAUACAUGCAAGUCGAACGCUGAAGGAGGAGCUUGCUUCUCUGGAUGAGUUGCGAACGGGUGAGUAACGCGUAGGUAACCUGCCUGGUAGCGGGGGAUAACUAUUGGAAACGAUAGCUAAUACCGCAUAAGAGUAGAUGUUGCAUGACAUUUGCUUAAAAGGUGCAAUUGCAUCACUACCAGAUGGACCUGCUUUGUAUUAGCUAGUUGGUGGGGUAUCGGCUCACCAAGGCGAGGAUACAUAGCCAACAGGAGAGGGGGAGCGGCCACACUGGGACUGUGACCCGGCCCAGUCUGCUACGGGAGGCAGCAGGAGUGAAUCUUCGGCAAUGGACGGAAGUCUGACCGAGAAACGCCGCGUCAGUGAAGAAGAUUGUCGGAUCGUAAAGCUCGGUUGUCAGAGAAGAACGAGCGUGAGCGUGGAAAGUUCACACUGUGACGGUAUCUUACCAGAAAGGACCGGCUAACUACGUG